AGUUAUCGUCCUCUUCUCUCCCCCAUCCACGAUUCCUUUCCUAUCUUCUCUCCCCAUCUCUCUGAAACUACCACGCAGCACCCUCCCUCCCUCAACGGCCGCUGCUGUUGCUAGCCCCCCUCCCACCGUGCAGCGCAGCGUGAUCCAGAGCAGAUCGAGGCCACCAACAAGCCUCCGUCCUCCUCCGCUCAGCACCCGAUCCACCUCCCGUGUCAUGCACGGAGCAUGCAGGGAGCCUGGCGGCUGGAGUUCGCUGGCCGUUGGCGCCCUCCUCCCCUACGACCGGCACAUCCACCCUCUAGCUCACCUCCUCGCGCUGAUGGCCGGCUCGCCACCGGCGAGCAGCACCAACAGCAGGACCGCCGCCGCACCUCACCGCUCUCUUCUCUCUCCCUCUGGCCUUCCAUCUCCUUUCUCCCGUCCUCCCUUUUCUCUCCCGCUCAUCUCUCACUUCUCUCGCAGGCACCCAACGCAUGGCGUGCCUCGCCCCAUUCCUGGGCUCGGGCGGCGCAUACGCCCGCCGCGACGCAUCUCCUGCCUUGGCUUCUGCGGAGUCAGCGCCGGCGGCAAGCGGCGGGGCAUUCACGGCGGUUCAGUGGAGGCAGGGUGUUUUUUGCAAAAAACGAAACGUUAUCCAGAUUUAAGUAGGACCACGGGUUAAUUCCUAAGAAACAGGGGGACUUUUUCGCAAAAUGACUAACGACGGACGACCAGAAGCGAUCGCUGGUUUAUUAGUAGGGAAAGAUUAGCCAGGGACCCAUAUGUAAUUAGUUUCUUCACAGUUUAGUCCCUGAUCUUCAAUCUAUCACAACUUUUUACCCGUUUAUCCAAAUCCAACGAAACCAACACUCACGUCUUCGUUAUGAUAUCCUCUAUCCAGUAAUCCAACUCAAACAUGUUUUUGAAAAGUUUAAAAUUUGAAUUAGAUCAGAUUUGAAUUUGAACUUUGUUUGAUCAUAACUCGAGUUUCGUAACUCCGAUUUAGUUGAUUCUUUUUGCAAAUCGAAGCUCUUGACCUAAUUUUCUGAUAAGGCCAAAUUCACAUAAUUUUGGUACUGUUAGAAAUUGUUUUAUGUUGCAAGAUUCAUUUGCUUGAUUUUGAUGUUUUCCGAAUCGUCCUCUUCGUUCUUUCUGAUCUUUUGAGUGAUUGCUUAUGUGUGGUUACUAUUGCUUGAUUACGAUAGAUUGACCGGAGUGUGACGAGUAGAACUAUCAAGAGUUUUGAGUGCGAAUCAUCUUCAUCAACAUUGCAGGCAAGUUCACACUUUGAUCAUACCUUUUUCAUACCCAGUUUUUAUGCAUUAGUUCCAAUCCUCAAACAUCGCACGAUUAGGAGGUCAUUAACAUCUGGGUAUUGGGAGGUAGUUGAUGAGGUAGGAACCUAUUACUUGUUUAUUAUCAAACCUUUGGGAGUUACUUCUACGUUUGCUUAUUAUGCCAUGCUAUGCUAGUAGACUUGGAUUGGGUGAGUGAUAUCCAUUGACAUAUGUGAGUUUGUUAAUUAAUGGUUUAUCCAAGGUGGCAACUUAAAC
rnacentral:rRNA from 1 species